rnacentral:rRNA from 1 species
AGAGUUUGAUCCUGGCUCAGAACGAACGUUGGCGGCCUGGAUUAGGUAUGCAAGUUGAGCGUACCCAGCAAUGGGGAGCAGCGUAAGGGGCAGUAAGGCAUAGGUACCUACCCGCAGCUCGGGCAUAGCCUGUAGAGAUACAGGGUAAUUCCCGAUGACGUCGAAAGACCAAAGCUCCGGCGGCCGCGGAGGGGCCUAUGUGAUAUUAGCUAGUUGGUAGGGUAACGGCCUACCAAGGCGAAGAUGUCUAGCGGGUGUGAGAGCACGACCCGCGCCACUGGCACUGAGACACUGGCCAGACACCUACGGGUGGCUGCAGUCGAGGAUCUUCGGCAAUGGGCGCAAGCCUGACCGAGCGAGGCCGCGUGGGCGAUGAAGGCCUUCGGGUUGUAAAGCCCUGUCGAGAGGGAGAAAAGCGAAAGCUUGAUCUAUCUCUGGAGGAAGCACGGGCUAAGUUCGUG